CUGCUGCCUUCCGUAGGAGUUUGGGCCGUGUCUCAGUCCCAAUGUGGCCGUCCACCCUCUCAGGCCGGCUACUGAUCGUCGCCUUGGUGGGCCUUUACCCCGCCAACCAGCUAAUCAGACGCGGGUCCAUCUUGCACCACCGGAGUUUUUCACACUGUCCCAUGCAGGACCGUGCGCUUAUGCGGUAUUAGCACCUAUUUCUAAGUGUUAUCCCCCAGUGCAAGGCAGGUUACCCACGCGUUACUCACCCGUCCGCCAA
rnacentral:rRNA from 1 species